rnacentral:misc_RNA from 1 species
UUGCCACAUGAAGUCUCGCUGGAACUCCAGGAACUCGGUGAGCUUCUCUGGGAAGUAGAUGCGAGUGUGUUGCGUCACUUCGUGAAGACGGUUCUGAGCGGUAUGGAAUGUCUUCUCGAA